rnacentral:misc_RNA from 1 species
AUCCUAUUGAUGGGGAGUGGCUACCAAAAAGUGCUGUGUAUGUGCUUGUGGAUCUUAUGGUUGUUAUCUUUAGCCGGCCUAAAGGACUUUUCAAAGAGUGCACAAAACGAAUUUUAUCUGGAAUGCUUACUGUCCAAGAGGAGUUGGUGAAGCUUGGGAUAGCUGAUGGUGUAAGAGAAGUCAGUUUGCAACACUCUGCCAUAUGGAUGGCUGGCGUUUAUUUAAUGCUCCUUAUGCAACUUCUUGAAAACAAAGUAGCCAUUGAGCUGACACGU